GCGUGAACCUGAGGAGCAGUGCUGUACGGAAGCAGGGCCGAUGCCAAAUCUGGAGCCCACAUAAGAUACUGAGAAUGAAAUAUAAACUGAAGCAAUGAUUCUGCCUGUAAAAGAAAUGCUGGGAACAUGCAAGCAUCCAAUUUCCAAGCUUAUUAUUGAGUAAAUGAAGAUUUCUUGAGGCCUGUUCGACGCACCUCCUCUCAAGGCACAAGGUCAACAUGGCUGACAGGAUGUUGGGAGCAAACCCUCCCUCGUCUCCCACAUUGGUAGCAUCCUGGCCGUAUUUCUCCUGGAUCACCCCCUUCAGCGUGUGGUACAGCUCCGAUCCUAUCCUCAAUGCCUCCCUGAGAGACAGAUGGAGGGAUUGAAGAGGAGAGAGAAAUGGUGACGAAAUUAAAGAGGUUCUUGAAAAUUGAUUUGGAAAUGAACACUUACUUGAAAGACUCAGCUCCAACAGGAAGAACCAUAAACUCCUGCAUGGCCAGUUUGUUACCUGCAUGGGAACCUCCAUUUAUCACAUUGAAGGCCUGAAGAGGAGAGGAGAUGGGCGGAAAUGAGGAAAGAGGGGAGAUGAGAGGAGGAAACAAAAAGAAAGUUGACAAUGAGAGGUUUCUUACAGGAACAGGCAGCACCAGCUCUGUGUUUCCAGCCAGGUCGGCUAUGUGGCGGUACAGGGGGACGUCUUUCUCCGCAGCACCGGCCUUACAGAUGGCUAGAGACACCCCCAGGAUGGCGUUGGCCCCAAACUGAGCUGUUUGACAGGACAGAAAACAGGAAAUGAAUUAUGUAUUUUUAUAUAUUAUUGUAUAAAAAUCAUAUAAUAGAUUCUUUUGACCAAUGAACAAACAACAGUUUUGCAUGUAUGUAUCCAGUGACAGCUGGCCAACUUUUUAAUUCCCGAAUGUCAACAAGCGCUACAGUCCCAGCUGUGUGCAUCACCUUUUAGUGUCCCCAUUUCGGUUACGUUUUGAGUUUUUUUUUUUAUUUGCAAUGUUUUGUAUUUGCAGCGUUCCGUUUAUGCAAUGCUUUUAGUAAAUGAUGCACCUGGUUUGUCAGGUUGGCAAAUGAUUUCUAAAUGCUGCUUAUGUGUUGUCAAGUUGGUGAAGCUGUUUCCUCAUUUGCAUGUGUUUUGGCACAUUUGUGUUAUUUAAUUUGAAUCGUUUUUGAAACUGCAGCACGGUUCUCCCCUUAAUGGAAGUGUUUUUGGCACCUGUCGUCCACCAUUCUUGUUACCUCACAAGAAAAUAAAAAUAUAUGUAUUUAUACAUAUCAAAAAUAUUCCUUUGUGAGUGGCACAAAAUAUAUAAUAUCCCUUUAUCGUUGUAAACCUGCAAACAAUUGGGUCUAUUUAUUUAUUGGCAGAAAGUUAAUAACAAUCUGUCUGAACACAUUCAGCUCCAAUCUGACACGUAUUCAGUCCUCUCAACACUCAUCAUUCCCCUGCUGUUUACCUUGCUGCCUGAAAUAAUUAAUUGGCAUGAUUGUAGAUUAAAAUAAAUUACAUGUAUUUAUUAAGGGUGUGAGUUUGCGUCAGUUGUGCCAAAGCCUGUUUGGAACAGCAAUUUAUUCGCUUUGUCUUGUUACCCCCCUGUAUUUAUGCCUCUUGUUACUUUGUGACAAAUGUGCCUUUGGUAAAAAAAACAAAAACGUGACUUCUGACAACGACGAGGAGGAUUUCCAGGUGGCUGAGGGACUCUGAUGAUGCUGUGAUAAGUCGUCACGACUUGUUUUGACUCACAUUUGUUUUCUGUGCCGUCCAUCUCAAUCAUCAUGUUGUCCAGCUGCUCCUGCUCCACCACGCUGAUGCCCUGCAAACACACACAGAAACACAUCUUAAAUAAACGCACAGUUGGAUAAUGUAUAACAUAAUUCAAGUUUUUAUA